AUUGAACGCUGGCGGCAUGCUUUACACAUGCAAGUCGAACGGCAGCGCGGGCUUCGGCCUGGCGGCCAGUGGCGAACGGGUGAGUAAUGCAUCGGAACGUGCCCAGUAGUGGGUGAUAGCCCGGCGAAAGCCGGAUUCAUACCGCAUACGACCUGAGGGUGAAAGCGGGGGACCGAGAGGCCUCGCGCUAUUGGGGCGGCCGAUGGCGGAUUAGCUAGUUGGUGGGGUAAAGGCUUCCCAAGGCGCCGAUCCGUAGCUGGUCUGAGAGGACGACAAGCGACACUGGGACUGAGCCACGGCCCAGACGCCUACGGGAGGGAGCAGUGGGGAAUGGGGGACAGUGGGGGCAACCCUGGUCCAGCCAUGCCGCGUGCGGGAAGGAGGCCUUCGGGUUGGAAACCGCUUUUGUUCGGGAAGAAAUCCUCUGGGCUAAUACCCCGGGGGGAUGACGGUACCGGAAGAAUAAGCACCGGCUAACUACGUG
rnacentral:rRNA from 1 species